UGAGCUUAGCUUGCUAAGUUUGAUGGCGACCGGCGCACGGGUGAGUAACGCGUAUCCAACCUUCCGUUUACUCGGGUAUAGCCUUUCGAAAGAAAGAUUAAUCCCCGAUGGUAUGGUAAGAUUGCAUGAAAUUACCAUUAAAGAUUAAUCGGUAAAUGAUGGGGAUGCGUUCCAUUAGGUAGUAGGCGGGGUAACGGCCCACCUAGCCGACGAUGGAUAGGGGUUCUGAGAGGAAGGUCCCCCACAUUGGAACUGAGACACGGUCC
rnacentral:rRNA from 1 species